AUUGAACGCUGGCGGCAGGCCUAACACAUGCAAGUCGAGCGGAUGAGGGGAGCUUGCUCCCUGAUUUAGCGGCGGACGGGUGAGUAAUGCCUAGGAAUCUGCCUGGUAGUGGGGGAUAACGUUCCGAAAGGAACGCUAAUACCGCAUACGUCCUACGGGAGAAAGCAGGGGACCUUCGGGCCUUGCGCUAUCAGAUGAGCCUAGGUCGGAUUAGCUAGUUGGUGAGGUAAUGGCUCACCAAGGCGACGAUCCGUAACUGGUCUGAGAGGAUGAUCAGUCGCACUGGAACUGAGACACGGUCCAGACUCCUACGAGAGGCAGCAGUGGGGAAUAUUGGACAAUGGGCGAAAGCCUGAUCCAGCCAUGCCGCGUGUGUGAAGAAGGUCUUCGGAUUGUAAAGCACUUUAAGUUGGGAGGAAGGGCUGCUGGUUAAUACCCUGCAGUUUUGACGUUACCAACAGAAUAAGCACCGGCUAACUUCCUG
rnacentral:rRNA from 1 species